CUACGGGUCGCUGCAGUCGAGAAUCAUCCGCAAUGGGCGAAAGCCUGACGGUGCAAUGCCGCGUGGGGGAUGAAGGCCCUCGGGUCGUAAACCCCUGUCAGGAGGGACGAAGAAGUGACGGUACCUCCAGAGGAAGCCACGGCUAACUACGUGCCAGCAGCCGCGGUGAAUACGUAGGUGGCGAGCGUUAUUCGGAUUUACUGGGCGUAAAGGGUCCGCAGGGGGUUUGCCAAGUCUGGUGUGAAAUCUCACAGCUCAACUGUGAAACUGCGCUGGGUACUGGUGAACUAGAGUGCGCGAGGGGUGAGUGGAAUUCCUGGUGUAGCGGUGGAAUGCGUAGAUAUCAGGAAGAACACCAACGGCGAAGGCAGCUCACUGGCGCGCAACUGACCCUCAUGGACGAAAGCGUGGGUAGCAAACAGGAUUAGAUACCCUAGUAGUC
rnacentral:rRNA from 1 species